rnacentral:lncRNA from 1 species
GUUGGUGCUCCUCUAGCUCUACAACUCAAUUGGAAGGGCUCUAACUCGCGCCGCCCUUGCCACGAUCAAGAUCAGCAACAGCAGCAGCCGAAGGCGACGGCUCUGCAAAAACAGUUGUAACAAUAGGGCGUGAGAAUUACUGUAAAAACAAGUAGUCCUCAAUGGGUACCGCUCUCAAACUCAUCGGUCCACCCACUAAGUCUACAGGAAUAAGUAGGAAUAGUGAAGAAAGCCGGAACAAAUCUACAGCUAAAUACCGCUAUACUAUCAUGCUUUAACUCUAACCAUCUGUAGAACAGUGUCAACUCAGACCCAAUCUCAAAUAAGGACUGUAAUCAU